UUUUUGUCGAGCCUGCGACUUUUGUCGCAGAAAGCUCGACAUAGGGAUAGCGAUCCGGCGGCGGCGGCUACGGCGGCGGCGGCGGCGGCGGCGUUAGCUAACUUCUAAAAAGCUUUAUAUUUUAGAAGGUGGAAGGUCUGGAUGCUUCAUACUUUGUAUAUGGAUGCCUCAUGUUACGAAGUUUCCGUCAGUUACAUGUCCAAUGUCCUUGACCUCAUUUUCAUGGUUCAGUGACUACUUGAAAAAAAAGUUCAGAUUUUUUGUAAUGUUAAAUUCUCUCUUAUUAUAAGUAAUAGGAUAACUAUAUUUGGUAUGUGCGUACCUUGCAAGGUCCUCAUGCCCGUCAGACAGUUUUCACUUGACCUCGACCUCAUUUCAUGGAUCAGUGAACAAGGUUAAGUUUUCGUGGUCAAGUCCAUAUCUCAGAUACUAUAAGCAAUAGGUCUAGUAUAUUCGGUGUAUGGAAGGACUGUAAGGUGUACAUGUCCAACUGGCAGGUGUCAUCUGACCUUGACCUCAUUUUCAUGGUUCAGUGGUUAUAGUUAAGUUUUUGUGUUUUGGUCUGUUUUUCUUAUACUGUAUGCAAUAGGUCUACUAUAUUUGGUGUAUGGAAUGAUUGUAAGGUGUACAUGUCUAGCUGGCAGGUGUCAUCUGACCUUGACCUCAUUUUCAUGGUUCAGUGGUCAAAGUUAAGUUUUUGAGUUUUGGUCUUUUUUUCUAAUACUGCAUGCAAUAGGUCAGCUAUAUUUGGUGUAUGGAAUGAUUGUAAGGUGUACAUGUCUAGCUGGCAGGUGUCAUCUUACCUUGACCUCAUUUUCAUGGUUCAGUGGUCAAAGUUAAGUUUUUGAGUUUUGGUCUUUUUUUCUAAUACUAUAUGCAAUAGUUCAACUAUAUUUGGUGUAUGGAAAUAUUUUAUGAUCUAUAUGUCAGUCACGCAGGUUUUAUUUGACCUUGACCUCAUUUUCAAGGUUCAUUGCUCAGUGUUAAGUUUUUGUGUUUUCGUCUGUGUUUCUUAAACUAUAAGCAAUAGGUCAACUAUAUUUGUUGUAUGGAAGAAUUGUUAGCUGUACAUGUCUGCCUAGCAUGGUUCAUCUGACCUUGACCUCAUUUUCAUGGUUCAUUGGUCAAUGUUUAGUUUACUUGGUUAAUGUUAAGUUUAUGUGACAGUUGUAAUAAAGCUUUAUAUUUAGGACUAUCAACAUAAUAUCAAUGAUUAGUAAAGAAGGCGAGACAUUUCAGCGUGUGCACUCUUGUGGUUUAUAUCUCUGAAACUAAAGCAUUUAGAGCAAAUCUGACAGAUGGCAAAUAUGUUCAUCAGAUUUAGAUUUAUCUGCCCUGAAAUUAUCAGACAAAUCCGACAACCCGUUGUUGGGUUACUGCCCCUGAGUUAGUAAUUUUACAAAAAUUUUGCAGUUUUUGUCGAGCCUGCGACUUUUGUCGCAGAAAGCUCGACAUAGGGAUAGCGAUCCGGCGGCGGCGGCUACGGCGGCGGCGGCGGCGGCGGCGUUAGCUCACUUCUUAAAAGCUUUAUAUUUUAGAAGGUGGAAGGUCUGGAUGCUUCAUACUUUGUAUAUGGAUGCCUCAUGUUACGAAGUUUCCGUCAGUCACAUGUCCAAUGUCCUUGACCUCAUUUUCAUGGUUCAGUGACUACUUGAAAAAAAAGUUCAGAUUUUUUGUAAUGUUAGAUUCUCUCUUAUUAUAAGUAAUAAGAUAACUAUAUUUGGUAUGUGCGUACCUUGCAAGGUCCUCAUGCCCGUCAGACAGUUUUCACUUGACCUCGACCUCAUUUCAUGGAUCAGUGAACAAGGUUAAGUUUUGGUGGUCAAGUCCAUAUCUCAGAUACUAUAAGCAAUAGGUCUAGUAUAUUCGGUGUAUGGAAGGACUGUAAGGUGUACAUGUCCAACUGGCAGGUGUCAUCUGACCUUGACCUCAUUUUCAUGGUUCAGUGGUCAAAGUUAAGUUUUUGAGUUUUGGUCUUUUUUUCUAAUACUAUGUGCAAUAGUUCAACUAUAUUUGGUAUGUGCGUACCUUGCAAGGUCCUCAUGCCCGUCAGACAGUUUUCACUUGACCUCGACCUCAUUUCAUGGAUCAGUGAACAAGGUUAAGUUUUGGUGGUCAAGUCCAUAUCUCAGAUACUAUAAGCAAUAGGUCUAGUAUAUUCGGUGUAUGGAAGGACUGUAAGGUGUACAUGUCCAACUGGCAGGUGUCAUCUGACCUUGACCUCAUUUUCAUGGUUCAGUGGUUAUAGUUAAGUUUUUGUGUUUUGGUCUGUUUUUCUUAUACUGUAUGCCAUAGGUCUACUAUAUUUGGUGUAUGGAAUGAUUGUAAGGUGUACAUGUCUAGCGGGCAGGUGUCAUCUGACCUUGACCUUAUUUUCAUGGUUCAGUGGUCAAAGUUAAGUUUUUGAGUUUUGGUCUUUUUUUCUAAUACUAUGUGCAAUAGUUCAACUAUAUUUGGUAUGUGCGUACCUUGCAAGGUCCUCAUGCCCUUCAGACAGUUUUCACUUGACCUCGACCUCAUUUCAUGGAUCAAUGAACAAGGUUAAGUUUUCGUGGUCAAGUCCAUAUAUCAGAUACUAUAAGCAGUAGGUCUACUAUAUUUGGUAUAUGGAAUGAUUGAAAGGUGUACAUGUCCAACUGGUAGGUGUCAUCUGACCUUGACCUCAUUUUCAUGGUUCAGUGGUCAAAGUUAAGUUUUUGAGUUUUGGUCUUUUUUUCUAAUACUAUAUGCAAUAGGUCAACUAUAUUUAGUAUGUGCGUACCUUGCAAGGUCCUCAUGCCCGUCAGACAAUUUUCAUUUGUCCUCGACCUCAUUUCAUGGAUCAGUGAACAAGGUUAAGUUUUCGUGGUCAAGUCCAUAUAUCAGAUACUAUAAGCAGUAGGGCUACUAUAUUUGGUAUAUGGAAUGAUUGUAAGGUGUACAUGUCCAACUGGUAGGUGUCAUCUGACCUUGACCUCAUUUUCAUGGUUCAGUGGUCAAAGUUAAGUUUUUGAGUUUUGGUUUUUUUUUCUAAUACUAUAUGCAAUAGGUCAACUAUAUUUAGUAUGUGCGUACCUUGCAAGGUCCUCAUGCCCGUCAGACAAUUUUCAUUUGUCCUCGACCUCAUUUCAUGGAUCAGUGAACAAGGUUAAGUUUUCGUGGUCAAGUCCAUAUAUCAGAUACUAUAAGCAGUAGGGCUACUAUAUUUGGUAUAUGGAAUGAUUGUAAGGUGUACAUGUCCAACUGGUAGGUGUCAUCUGACCUUGACCUCAUUUUCAUGGUUCAGUGGUCAAAGUUAAGUUUUUGAGUUUUGGUCUUUUUUUCUAAUACUAUAUGCAAUAGGUCAACUAUAUUUAGUAUGUGCGUACCUUGCAAGGUCCUCAUGCCCGUCAGACAAUUUUCAUUUGUCCUCGACCUCAUUUCAUGGAUCAGUGAACAAGGUUAAGUUUUCGUGGUCAAGUCCAUAUAUCAGAUACUAUAAGCAGUAGGGCUACUAUAUUUGGUAUAUGGAAUGAUUGUAAGGUGUACAUGUCCAACUGGUAGGUGUCAUCUGACCUUGACCUCAUUUUCAUGGUUCAGUGGUCAAAGUUAAGUUUUUGAGUUUUGGUCUUUUUUUCUAAUACUAUAUGCAAUAGGUCAACUAUAUUUAGUAUGUGCGUACCUUGCAAGGUCCUCAUGCCCGUCAGACAAUUUUCAUUUGUCCUCGACCUCAUUUCAUGGAUCAGUGAACAAGGUUAAGUUUUCGUGGUCAAGUCCAUAUAUCAGAUACUAUAAGCAGUAGGGCUACUAUAUUUGGUAUAUGGAAUGAUUGUAAGGUGUACAUGUCCAACUGGUAGGUGUCAUCUGACCUUGACCUCAUUUUCAUGGUUCAGUGGUCAAAGUUAAGUUUUUGAGUUUUGGUCUUUUUUUCUAAUACUAUAUGCAAUAGGUCAACUAUAUUUGGUGUAUGGAAAUAUUUUAUGAUGUACAUGUCAGUCUCGCAGGUUUUAUUUGACCUUGACCUCAUUUCCACGGAUCAUUUCUCAGUGUUUAGUUUUUGUGUUUUGGUCUGUUUUUCUUCAACUAUAAGCAAUAGAUCAACUAUAUUUGUUGUAUGGAAGGAUUGUAAGGUGUAUAUGUCUGUCUGGCAGGUAUCAUCUGACCUUGACCUCAUUUUCAUGGUUCAUUGGUCAAUAUUUAGUUUUCUUGGUUAAGACUGUUUCUUAGAAACUAUAAGCAAUAGGUCAACUAUGUUUGGUUUAUUGAAUGAUUGUAAGGUGUACAUGUAUUUCUCGUUUGGUUUAUCUGACCUUGACCUCAUUUUCUUGGAUCAUGUUAAGUUUAUGUGUUACUUGUAGUAAAGCUUUCAUUUAGGACUAUCAACAUAAAAUCAAUGGUUAGUAAAGAAGGCGAGACAUUUCAGUGUGUGCACUCU